CAAGAGCCGAGCACGCAUCCAAACAGUCCAUAGCAAAGCAUCCAGCGUCGCAGAAGCACCUCUAGCGGCUGUCAGGAAGACAGCCACUAGAGGUUGGAUUAACCCUGCAAUGUAAACAUAGCAGUUUCUCAUAGCAAGUUUGCUACCAAACUUUAUGUGUAAUUUGAAACCCCCCCCCCCAAAAAAAACCCAAAGCAAUACAAUACAGUAGAGUGUAAUAUAUAUUAAUC